ACGAACAGAACGAAAGCCUUUCAUAUAUGCGUGGGAAUAUGGCUCACGUGUCUCUACCGGGCCGCCGUAAACGGCCUGACUAUGAAGGCAGAAGACGCUGCU
rnacentral:ncRNA from 2 species